AUGAACGCUGGCGGCGUGCCUAAUACAUGCAAGUCGAGCGAACAGACGAGGAGCUUGCUCCUCUGACGUUAGCGGCGGACGGGUGAGUAACACGUGGAUAACCUACCUAUAAGACUGGGAUAACUUCGGGAAACCGGAGCUAAUACCGGAUAAUAUAUUGAACCGCAUGGUUCAAUAGUGAAAGACGGUUUUGCUGUCACUUAUAGAUGGAUCCGCGCCGCAUUAGCUAGUUGGUAAGGUAACGGCUUACCAAGGCAACGAUGCGUAGCCGACCUGAGAGGGUAAUCGGCCACACUGGAACUGAGACACGGUCCAGACUCCUACGGGAGGCAGCAGUAGGGAAUCUUCCGCAAUGGGCGAAAGCCUGACGGAGCAACGCGGCGUGAGUGAUGAAGGUCUUCGGAUCGUAAAACUCUGUUAUUAGGGAAGAACAAAUGUGUAAGUAACUAUGCACGUCUUGACGGUACCUAAUCAGAAAGCCACGGCUAACUACGUG
rnacentral:rRNA from 1 species